rnacentral:snRNA from 1 species
AUCGCUUCUCGGCCUUUUGGCUAAGAUCAAGCGUAGUAUCUGUUCUUAUCAGCUUAAGGUGAUUCUACCAUAUAUAAAACUUUACAGUUUUGUUGGAUGGUAGACUGUGAUUAGUUAAGGAUGUAAAAACCAAA